AUACUUUACCUGGCAGGAGAUACCAUGAUCACUGGGUGGUUCUCAGGGCGAGCCUCAUCCAUUGCACUCCGGGUGCUGCUGGCCCCUGCGAUUUCCCCAAAUGCGGGAAACUCGACUACAUAAUUGUGGUGAGUUGAGGACUGCGUUCGCGCUCUCCCUGA